rnacentral:rRNA from 1 species
UUAAUGGAGAGUUUGAUCCUGGCUCAGGACGAACGCUGGCGGCGUGCCUAAUACAUGCAAGUCGAGCGGACUCUUGGCAAUCUUCGGAUUGCCCUGGGUUAGCGGCGGACGGGUGAGUAACACGUAGGCAACCUGCCUGUAAGACCGGGAUAACUAGCGGAAACGUUAGCUAAUACCGGAUAAUUUAUUUCAUCGCAUGGUGGAGUAAUGAAAGACGGAGCAAUCUGUCACUUACGGAUGGGCCUGCGGCGCAUUAGCUAGUUGGUGGGGUAAAGGCCUACCAAGGCGACGAUGCGUAGC